GCGUCAUUACACCACUCAUGCUCCUCGCAUGGCGUUGGGCGACGGGGCCGUGCCGCCCCCCGCCUCAAUUUCGCCGGCUGGACCGACCGAAUCUCAGCGUUGUGAUACACAGAGUCGCUGGCGAGACGGGCGGCCCACGCCGUGAAAACACCCCAUCACAGGUUGACCUCGGAUCAGGUAGGGAUACCCGCUGAACUUAA
rnacentral:misc_RNA from 1 species